GGCGGCUCGAGUGGUGGCCACUAUUACUGGGCUUAAAGCGUUCGUAGCUGGUUUGUUAAGUCUCUGGGGAAAUCUGCCGGCUCAACCGGCAGGCGUUCCAGGGAUACUGGCAGACUAGGGACCGGGAGAGGUGAGGGGUACUCCGGGGGUAGGAGUGAAAUCCUGUAAUCCUUGGGGGACCACCUGUGGCGAAGGCGCCUCACCAGAACGGCUCCGACAGUGAGGGACGAAAGCUGGGGGAGCAAACCG
rnacentral:rRNA from 1 species